AGCUAAGAGUGCAGCUUGGGAAUCAGACACGCCUGGGCCUUAAUUCCCACUCUGCCUAUUCUGACUUUAUGUCUCAGAGUCACAAUUCUUUAUCUAGAAAGACCUGUCUUAUGUGCUGUGGUGAGAUUCAUAAACAGCUCCACGGUGUCAGAUUUCCAUCUUUCUACUCUGUCUUCCUAGGACACGGCUUCCAUCCUCAAGGUCACCUAAUGAUGCUGGAUGGCCUUGGAGCUCAGCAUUGGCAGGCUGCAAGGAGGGAAGUCAGACUGGCAGGACAAGAGGUGAAUGUCAGAUGGCUCCGUAAACCUGUGGAGAUCUCAAUCAUCACAUCCUCACAGUGGACGCCCGGGUCUCUUGAACUCAAGGCCCCUGUGCCACCAUUCCCUGGAAGACUCCUCUCCACCCCAAAAAACAGACACAGCCCAAUUCCUUCUCAUUCAGGUAGGUUUCUAAUCUUCUCUGAGACAGAAAGGCAGGUGUUUGGACUGGUUGAAGACAUCCCUAAUGAGAGAGUGAACAGGCUCUGA
rnacentral:lncRNA from 1 species